UUUUCAAAAUCUAGUAGGCGUAACAUGUCACACACAAAAACUCAGAUUUCCAAUAAGCACAAGCAGCUACUUAUAACUGGCCUAAGUGAAAAAUGCCGUUCAUGAGACGUAGUCCCAGUGAGGAUCUUACAAAUGGCACUGAUUGGGACGACGAUCAUACACGGCGGCACUUUAUCAGUAAAGUCUGCAGUAUUGUUGCCUUGCAAAUGGCCGUAACGACAAUAAUUACAGCCAUAUUCCUGUUCGUCGAAUCAGCCAAUGAUUUGUUAAUGGAAAAUCCAUAUAUCAAAUGGAUAGCAUUGGCUGGGACUAUGAUCAUCAGUUUAAUAUUAAUUUGUUGCAAUUCAGUCGCGCGAAAAGUUCCCAUUAAUUACAUACUGUUAUUCUUGUUCACCGGGUUUAUGGCUCUCGGAAUCAGCUGUAUGUCUAUUUAUUAUACGACACGGUUGAUCCUGUACGCUAUCGGAAUCACGCUUACCAUUUGUAUAGCACUUAGUUUAUUCGCGAUUUUUGCACCGUGCGACUUUACAGGCUGGGGCCCUUACUUGUGCGUGCUAUCGAUAAUCCUUGUGAUAAUGGGAUUACUUGCGUUCUUUAUAAGGAAUAGAAUCCUAUCGUUGGUCUACUGUAGCCUUGGCCUAUUAGUAUUUUCGCUUUACCUAGUGUACGAUAUACAAUUAAUGGUCGGCGGUCGUAGGAACGAGUAUAGCGAAGAUGAUUAUAUUAUUGCCGCUUUAGGUAUUUACAUUGACAUUGUUUAUAUUUUCAUUAUGAUUUUGGGUAUCUUAGGCCUAGUUGACGCCUGAGUUGUUAAAUUCGAUGUCCGUGAAAAUAAAAAUCCACACAGUGUCAGUUCCGUAAAAUAAA